rnacentral:rRNA from 1 species
GACGAACGCUGGCGGCGUGCUUAACACAUGCAAGUCGAACGAUGAAGAAAAGAAUUGAAGCUUCGGCAGAAAUUCAUUUCGGAUUAGUGGCGGACGGGUGAGUAACGCGUGAGCAACCUACCUCUUACAAAGGGAUAGCCUCGGGAAACCGGGAUUAAUACCAUAUAACAUUGCGACGAAGCAUUUCGAUGCAAUCAAAGCUACGGCGGUAAGAGAUGGGCUCGCGUCCCAUUAACCAGAUGGUGAGGUAACGGCUCACCAUAGUAACGAUGGGUAACCGGCCUGAGAGGGUGAACGGUCACACUGGAACUGAGACACGGUCCAGACUCCUACGGGAGGCAGCAGUGGGGAAUAUUGCACAAUGGAGGGAACUCUGAUGCAGCGACGCCGCGUGAGUGAUGAAGGAAUUCGUUUCGUAAAACUCUGUUCUAUGGGAAGAAAAGGACUGUACCAUAGGAGAAAGCUCCGGCUAAAUACGU